GGAGAGAUGGCUGAGCGGUUGAAGGCGGCGGUCUUGAAAACCGUUGUAGGUUAACGCCUACCGUGGGUUCGAAUCCCACUCUCUCCG
rnacentral:tRNA from 1 species